rnacentral:rRNA from 1 species
AUUGAACGCUGGCGGCAGGCUUAACACAUGCAAGUCGAGCGGAGAUGAGGUGCUUGCACCUUAUCUUAGCGGCGGACGGGUGAGUAAUGCUUAGGAAUCUGCCUAUUAGUGGGGGACAACAUUCCGAAAGGAAUGCUAAUACCGCAUACGUCCUACGGGAGAAAGCAGGGGAUCUUCGGACCUUGCGCUAAUAGAUGAGCCUAAGUCGGAUUAGCUAGUUGGUGGGGUAAAGGCCUACCAAGGCGACGAUCUGUAGCGGGUCUGAGAGGAUGAUCAGCCACACUGGGACUGAGACACGGCCCAGACUCCUACGGGAGGCAGCAGUGGGGAAUAUUGGACAAUGGGGGGAACCCUGAUCCAGCCAUGCCGCGUGUGUGAAGAAGGCCUUAUGGUUGUAAAGCACUUUAAGCGAGGAGGAGGCUACUGAGACUAAUACUCUUGGAUAGCGGACGUUACUCGCAGAAUAAGCACCGGCUAACUCUGUGCCAGCAGCCGCAGUAA